GACGAACGCUGGCGGCGUGCUUAACACAUGCAAGUCGAACGGAAAGGCCCUGCUUUUGUGGGGUGCUCGAGUGGCGAACGGGUGAGUAACACGUGAGUAACCUGCCCUUGACUUUGGGAUAACUUCAGGAAACUGGGGCUAAUACCGGAUAGGAGCUCCUGCUGCAUGGUGGGGGUUGGAAAGUUUCGGCGGUUGGGGAUGGACUCGCGGCUUAUCAGCUUGUUGGUGGGGUAGUGGCUUACCAAGGCUUUGACGGGUAGCCGGCCUGAGAGGGUGACCGGCCACAUUGGGACUGAGAUACGGCCCAGACUCGUACGGGAGGCAGCAGUGGGGAAUAUUGCACAAUGGGCGGAAGCCUGAUGCAGCAACGCCGCGUGCGGGAUGACGGCCUUCGGGUUGUGAACCGCUUUCGCCUGUGACGAAGCGUGAGUGACGGUAAUGGGUAAAGAAGCACCGGCUAACUACGUG
rnacentral:rRNA from 1 species